CUUUCUGUGUCUGGCAUAUGCAGUAGGUUAUCUUUCUGUCUGGUGUAUGCAGUAGAUGAUCUGUGUCUGGCGUAUGCAGUAGGUUAUCUUUCUGUCUGGUGUAUGCAGUAGGUGAUCUUUCUGUGUCUGGCGUAUGCAGCAGGUGAUCUUUCUGUGUCUGGCGUAUGCAGCAGGUGAUCUUUCUGUGUCUGGCGUAUGCAGUAGGUGAUCUUUCUUUGGCGUAUGCAGUAGGUGAUCUUUCUGUGUCUGGCGUAUGGAGUAGGUGAUCUUUCUGUGUCUGGCGUAUGCAGUAGGUGAUCUUUCUGUGGCUGGCAUAUGCAGUAGGUGAUCUUUCUGUGUCUGGCGUAUGCAGUAGGUGAUCUUUCUGUGUCUGGCGUAUGCAGUAGGUGAUCUUUCUGUGUCUGACUGUGUCUGGCUCUUGCUACAGUGUACUACUGUAUUCACAGCUUUGUGUCAUCCUUAAUUGGAAAUAAUAAACAUAAGCAAGGAAAUGGUAGGAUUCUGCAAACUGUUUGCUACUGUAAUUCAGGGACUACGCUUUGAAAUGAAAGCAGAAAGUACAUGUCCUAUUAGAUAGGUUUUUCUAGAUAAGCCAGUUAUAAAGCAUGUUUUUUUCUUUUCGUUUGUCAUCAAAAGGAAAGGAAGGGUUAGCAGUACACUUAAAGAAUAGUAUCAAAUAUACAAAUUCUCUUUAAACAGAACUCGUUUCUCUUGGAAACAGGGCACAUGAGAGGUACAGGUGAUAAAUAGUUGUACAUCAGAAGGUAGAGACGUGGUACAAGGAAUUCCAGGCCAGCUAAACGAUGCAGUGACAGGGCACCGUAAGAACAUGUUACAAGCACUGAAGAUGCUACAGGAGCUAAACAAACAAGUCUUCUUGGUGAAAUAAUUUGGCAGAUAUUUACAGUUCAGAAGAACAAAACGUCAAAAUGUAAGGCAUGAAAUAUUUCUUGGCAGACCACGGUUUGACACAUUCCUUCUGUCCAGUUAGGUACACGGUGGCUGGACAUGUUCUGGCACUUUU
rnacentral:lncRNA from 1 species